rnacentral:rRNA from 1 species
AGCUUGCUCUCGGGUGACGAGUGGCGGACGGGUGAGUAAUGUCUGGGAAACUGCCUGAUGGAGGGGGAUAACUACUGGAAACGGUAGCUAAUACCGCAUAACGUCGCAAGACCAAAGAGGGGGACCUUCGGGCCUCUUGCCAUCAGAUGUGCCCAGAUGGGAUUAGCUAGUAGGUGGGGUAACGGCUCACCUAGGCGACGAUCCCUAGCUGGUCUGAGAGGAUGACCAGCCACACUGGAACUGAGACACGGUCCAGACUCCUACGGGAGGCAGCAGUGGGGAAUAUUGCACAAUGGGCGCAAGCCUGAUGCAGCCAUGCCGCGUGUAUGAAGAAGGCCUUCGGGUUGUAAAGUACUUUCAGCGGGGAGGAAGGGAGUAAGGUUAAUAACCUUGCUCAUUGACGUUACCCGCAGAAGAAGCACCGGCUAACUCCGUGCCAGCAGCCGCGGUAAUACGGAGGGUGCAAGCGUUAAUCGGAAUUACUGGGCGUAAAGCGCACGCAGGCGGUCUG